GACAGGAGCUGCCCUGCCCCUGGCUCUGAGGGUCGGUGGAACCGGGGCUUUUCCCGCCGCCCGGGCUGCUCGGUGUGAGGGGCGGCUGAGGCGGGCACGGGCUGGGCUUUAGUUUGGCCAUCAGAAAUCUGCCCCUCAUUUUGGAGCAGGUGCCCCAUCGCUCGUGGCUGUCAAGGUCCUGGAUUAAUUUUGCAAAAUAAAGUGUUGUUUUCCUUCUCCGGGAAAAGAGUGUCAGGCUCAUGUUGUGGAGGAAGCUGCAACAGCAUCUGGAUGCUGCCUCCUCUCCUGACAAACACUUUGGAUGGUGAUGUGGAGGCACGCUGCCUCUGCUGUACUCCAGGGAAGCAUGAAGUCCUUAACAGCCAUCAUUAUCCCACUGCUGUGUAUCAUCAACCUUUAGGGAAAGCAUUCCCUGUGCUGGAAACCUCUCUGCUGGCCUGUGGAGCAGAGACCAGGGUGAGCCCUCAGCUCUCAGGCACAGCUCCCUGUGAGCAGGGAUAUUAUCCUAAGGGACGGGCUGGAAUUAACAUUGCACCCCCUUGGACAGCCAACCUGCCAAGUCACUGUGCCCUGGUGCAGCAGAGAACUGCGUCAGAAAACCUGACACAGCAGCUGCUUCUUCCUGCAAACAGAUUUAAGCUGCUUCUUAAGUAAAUGGCUUAGGAAAAUAAGCAUCUUAUCCCCGAGCUGUUUUCCAUUUCCAUUUAUUUUACAAGGCAUCGUUCACACAAUGAUAACAAGGUACUGAUCUGAACAACUCUGUAACAAUUAAAAAAGUAAACAUUUGUUGUGACCAGGUACAUUGAAUUGCACUUUUAAUAACAAGCAUUACACUUAUAUUUUCAUGUUGUACUUUAUAUAACACAUGGAUGCGUUACCCAAGUAGUGGUAGUACUGAAUGGUUCUCAGCUGGAAGUGUGACAUCUCCUUGAUGCUCUUUUUUCCUGAACUCUUUGGGAUUUGUGAACUUGGGACACACCCAGAUCACAAAGGCAACCCCAAAUCUGGAAAACUUCAUUGUCAUGGAGUCAGAGCUUUGGAGCUGCUCUGUUUUCAGUGUGCUGGAGCGAAUCCACCUUAAUGGCAGACACAGAGGGAGAUGGAUUAUGCUUGAUUAGAAAUUUUCUGCAUUCAGAUGUCAUCUUUUCCCAGUUCAAAGAAGCCAGAGCAUCUUCUUCCAUGGGAAAGCAAGAGUUCCCAAAGCUCAAGAGAGCUCCUGGCACAGCUUUCGAGGGUGAUACAGCAGAAUUGCAAACCCAGGGAUUACUGAAAGACAGAAAUUGAGAUCUGAAGAAAAAUCUGGGAACAUCUGCUGUGGUUUGCAUUGGUAGUACCAUCCAUGUAUUAUAUAAAAUACAAAAAUAAGAGAAACUGUAAGGAAAUUAGUACAGCCCAGGAUUCUGGUGGUAUCAAAUGAAAUUUGUGAUACCAAAUCCUUUUGAUGUAUUUAUCCCCUUGUCGUUCUGUUUCUUAUAUAUUAUUCUAUAUGUAAGAUAUAGUUCUCCAAAGAUACAUAUAUAUUCCUUUACAGGUUAAAUAAAAGCAAGUCACACUGAAUAAGAAAAUAAUAAAAAGUAAUAUCCUAAUUCUGUACCCUUUUUUUUUUUUUUUCAGGUAAAAAUAGCAUGAAAUACAUUCAGUAGCAAAGCCAUUGGGACCCAGGAGAAAUGGAGAGCCCUGUAUUCCUGGAGAAUUGACCUGUAUGUGUUAAGUCACAAUCCUGAAAUAAAUUGUGUAGACUUCUGAAAUAGGAAGGAUAAAGUCUUGAUAAAUGCUGAGCAUUAUUUAUCCAGUUGCAAAUUCCUUGCAUUUCCCAAAAUCCACCUGUGUAGCUCAGUUCUAAAGGCUGCUGUGACAUACACCUCCCCUAACACCUGAGAGAUCCAAACUGCAGUGUUUCAUCAUGUCUCCCCUUGGUGUUAUUACCUGGAAGGAGCUAACGGGACAGUUCCCAGGAGGAUAUUAGCAUGACAGACAAACAAAUAAAUUAGUUUUAACCUCUUUGUUCGCACAUGUGGUGCAGCCCCCUCAGCAGGGUCCAGCAGGGACAGGGAGUGCUUGUCAGCCACAGGAAUCCCUCAGACCCGAGGGGAACAUCUCUGCCCUCUCUUCACAAUCAGUCAGACAUGACACUACAGUUUUCUCUCCAGCAGCUGGAAGAACACCAGCACUGUAAGGUAAGAGUGCUUCUGGUAUCAAAGCCAAGGGUGUUUAGGCUUAGGAGAUGGUGCAGAAGUUGCCAAUUAUCCCUGAGUCUAACAGUAAAUGAAAAUCCUCUGAGUAAAUGAAAAUCACCUGAUUAUAGUUCUCCCACACAUACAAGAAUUUCACUGCAGCUACUUAACAAAAGGAAGGGAACAGUCCCACCUUGAUCCUGUGGAGAAAGCAUGGCAUGUGACUUCCAAGUGUUGAUACUUUGGUGCCAGUAAAUGCAGAUUUUUAUUUACUCCUAAACUACCACAUUCAGUGGCAUCACAACCCUGAAGUCAAUGGGAUACUUCAUGCUUUGUGAAGGGGCUGAACUCCAACAGUUCUUGACUUUUUAUCUCCAUCUCCCCUUGUAAAUUGCUGGCUUCAUUUCAAGUUGUUCUUAACACAGUGGCAGAGAUGAUAAUUUAUCUUCAAAGAAAUUUCAAGGGCCAGCUAAGAGUAGUAAUUCAAACAUCUAACAUAGAGAAAAAAUAUUGCUUACCUGUGUAAGCACUUUAACUUAGUUGUAGCAAUGUAACUCAGCUUGAUCAAAUUAAAUCCUCAUUAACGGGCAGGACAGGGGUGGGUUUGUCCACUGGCAGUACUGAUUACAUGGCUGACUACCUUUCCUGAGACCCUAAUGCAGGUGCACCUCAGGGAU